AGGUUGGCCUGGUUUUCCGAUAUUCAGUCCUUCGGUGUACAGAUAUUUUUCCACUGGUAAUUUUGAACUGGCUAUGAGAACUGCAAACAUUGGAGAAUGUACUGCAUACAUAAAGAAUUUCAUUGAUCAGAUAGAUGAUGCUGAUGAUGUGCAAAACUUAGAUCAGGAUGAGUGUCUCAACAUCAUGUCUGAAUGUGGCCUUACAGAAAUGUUAACUGUGUGUAUAAUGUGAUUUUUUUCAGAUAUUUUUUAGUUAAAAAGCAUUAUGGUGUCUGCAUUCACUUGUUAUAUUUUUAUUGACUAAAUAAUGAUAAGUAUGAUGCUAGUGA